rnacentral:ncRNA from 1 species
CAGGCAUGCUGGAGCCCCGCCCAGCGGCGCCGCGGUCCAAAUGGGCCGGACACCGGACGGGGCAGAA